rnacentral:rRNA from 1 species
GAUGAACGCUGGCGGCGUGCCUAAUACAUGCAAGUCGAGCGAACGGACGAGAAGCUUGCUUCUCUGAUGUUAGCGGCGGACGGGUGAGUAACACGUGGAUAACCUACCUAUAAGACUGGGAUAACUUCGGGAAACCGGAGCUAAUACCGGAUAAUAUUUUGAACCGCAUGGUUCAAAAGUGAAAGACGGUCUUGCUGUCACUUAUAGAUGGAUCCGCGCUGCAUUAGCAAGUUGGUAAGGUAACGGCUUACCAAGGCAACGAUGCAUAGCCGACCUGAAAGGGGGAUCGGCCACACGGGAACUGAGACACGGUCCAAACUCCUACGGAGGGCAGCGGUAGGGAAUCUUCCGCAAUGGGCGAAAGCCUGACGGGGAAACGCCGCGUGAGUGAUGAAGUUCUUCGGAUCGUAAAACUCUGUUAUUAGGGAAGAACAUAUGUGUAAGUAACUGUGCACAUCUUGACGGUACCUAAUCAGAAAGCCACGGCUAACUACGUG